rnacentral:rRNA from 1 species
AGAGUUUGAUCCUGGCUCAGGAUGAACGCUGGCGGCGUGCCUAACACAUGCAAGUCGAGCGAUUUACUUCGGUAAAGAGCGGCGGACGGGUGAGUAACGCGUGGGUAACCUGCCUCAUACACAUGGAUAACAUACCGAAAGGUAUGCUAAUACAAGAUGAUAUAAGAGAUUCACAUGGAUUUCUUAUCAAAGCUCCGGCGGUAUGAGAUGGACCCGCGUCUGAUUAGCUAGUUGGUAAGGUAACGGCUUACCAAGGCGACGAUCAGUAGCCGACCUGAGAGGGUGAUCGGCCACAUUGGAACUGAGACACGGUCCAAACUCCUACGGGAGGCAGCAGUGGGGAAUAUUGCACAAUGGGCGAAAGCCUGAUGCAGCAACGCCGCGUGAGCGAUGAAGGCCUUCGGGUCGUAAAGCUCUGUCCCCAAGGAAGAUAAUGACGGUACUUGAGGAGGAAGCCCCGGCUAACUACGUGCCAGCAGCCGCGGUAAUACGUAGGGGGCUAGCGUUAUCCGGAUUUACUGGGCGUAAAGGGUGCGUAGGUGGUUUCUUAAGUCAGGAGUGAAAGGCUACGGCUCAACCGUAGUAAGCUCUUGAAACUGGGAAACUUGAGUGCAGGAGAGGAAAGUGGAAUUCCUAGUGUAGCGGUGAAAUGCGUAGAUAUUAGGAGGAACACCAGUAGCGAAGGCGGCUUUCUGGACUGUAACUGACACUGAGGCACGAAAGCGUGGGGAGCAAACAGGAUUAGAUACCCUGGUAGUCCACGCCGUAAACGAUGAGUACUAUGUGUCGGGGGUUACCCCCCUCGGUGCCGCAGCUAACGCAUUAAGUACUCCGCCUGGGGAGUACGCUCGCAAGAGUGAAACUCAAAGGAAUUGACGG